AGAACGAACGCUGGCGGCAUGCCUAACACAUGCAAGUCGAACGAGACCUUCGGGUCUAGUGGCGCACGGGUGCGUAACGCGUGGGAAUCUGCCCUUAGGUACGGAAUAACAGUGAGAAAUUACUGCUAAUACCGUAUGAUGUCUCCGGACCAAAGAUUUAUCGCCUAGGGAUGAGCCCGCGUUGGAUUAGCUAGUUGGUGGGGUAAAGGCCUACCAAGGCGACGAUCCAUAGCUGGUCUGAGAGGAUGAUCAGCCACACUGGGACUGAGACACGGCCCAGACUCCUACGGGAGGCAGCAGUGGGGAAUAUUGGACAAUGGGCGAAAGCCUGAUCCAGCAAUGCCGCGUGAGUGAAGAAGGCCUUAGGGUUGUAAAGCUCUUUUAUCCGGGAAGAUAAUGACUGUACCGGGAGAAUAACGCCCGGCUAACUCCGUGCCAGCAGCCGC
rnacentral:rRNA from 1 species